GCCUUCGUGGUGUAGUGGUCAGCACGCUCGACGCGUAUUCGAGAGAUCCGUGGUUCGAGUCCCGGCGAGGGCA
rnacentral:tRNA from 1 species